CAAUAGCGUAUAUUUAAGUUGUUGCAGUUAAAAAGCUCGUAGUCGGAUUUUGGCUGAGAACGAUCGGUCCGCCGUUAGGUGUGCACUGAUUGGUCUCAGCUUCCUGGUGAGGAGGUGUGCUUCACGGCCACUUAGUCACCGUGGUUACUUUGAAAAAAUUAGAGUGUUCAAAGCGGGCUUACGCUUGAAUAUAUUAGCAUGGAAUAACACCAUAGGACUCCUGUCCUAUUUCGUUGGUCACGGGACGGGAGUAAUGAUUAAGAGGAACAGUUGGGGGCAUUCGUAUUUCAUUGUCAGAGGUGAAAUUCUUGGAUUUAUGAAAGACGAACUUCCGCGAAAGCAUUUGCCAAGGAUGUUUUCAUUGA
rnacentral:rRNA from 1 species